GCUGGUUUCCAGGGGUGCCCCGGCAGGGGCUGAGACACCGCAGGCCGGCCGCCAGGGGCGGACAGGCGCGCGGGAACCCUUAGAACCUGAUCCGGGUCGUACCGGCGUAGGGAUGGAACCGGCGGAUGCCC
rnacentral:ncRNA from 2 species